rnacentral:rRNA from 1 species
CAAUAGCGUAUACUAAUGUUGUUGCAGUUAAAAGCUCGUAGUCGGAUUUCAGUUUUAUGACACCUCUCUUUUUGAGUUGGUUGUUGUUUACUUCAUUGGUACCAACCUUCAUCUGAUUAAUUUCCGGUGUCUGGCUAGUAUCUCUUUUACUUUGAGAAAAUUAGAGUGUUCAAAGCAGGUUUUCGCCUGAAUAUUACUCUUGGAAUAAUACUAUAGGACCUGUGGUCUAAAAUUGUUGGUGUUUUUGGACCGGGGUAAUGAUUGAUAGGGACGGUUGGGGUCAUUCCUACUGCAAAGCGAGAGGUGGAAUUCUUGGACCUUUGUAUGAUGAACAACUGCGAAAGCAUUUGACUAGGACGUUCCCGUUGAUCAAGAACGAAAGUUGGGGGAUCGAAGAUGAUUAGAUACCAU